rnacentral:RNase_P_RNA from 1 species
AUCGGAUGGCUGCGUUGAUAUUUGUUUGUCAAUGAGGAAAGUCCGGGCUUCACGGAAACAAGGCACCAGAUAACGUCUGGCUGGAGAAAUCCACGGGAAAGUGCCGCAGAAAAUUACCGCCGAUUCCUUUUGUGAGUCGGUAAGGUUGAAAAGGCGAGGUAAGAGCUCACCGCACGGGUAGUAAUAUCCGUGGCUUAGGUAAACCCUGCCUGAUGCAAGACCAAGUUAGGGGAUUCGAUUUGUUCGAAUAACAAGGAAAGUUUCCGUUCCUCCCCAGAGGUGGGUCGCACCAGCCGAAUGGUGACAUUCGGCGCAGAUGAAUAGCCAUCAAGCCAUGUUCGAGAGAACAUCCGGCUUACAGAACCCGGCUUACAGAUUGCCUUU